rnacentral:rRNA from 1 species
GGGGGGAUAACAUCCGGAAACGGGUGCUAAUACCGCAUAGUUUUCUUGAUCGCGAUGAUCGGGAAAGGAAAGACGGCCUUUGUGCUGUCGCUUAUGGAUGGACCCGCGGCGUAUUAGUUAGUUGGUGAGGUAACGGCUCACCAAGACGAUGAUACGUAGCCGACCUGAGAGGGUGAUCGGCCACAUUGGGACUGAGACACGGCCCAAACUCCUACGGGAGGCAGCAGUAGGGAAUCUUCCGCAAUGGACGAAAGUCUGACGGAGCAACGCCGCGUGAGUGAAGAAAAGGGUUUUCGGAUCGUAAAACUCUGUUGUCAGAGAAGAACAAGUUUGGAGAGUAAACUGCUCCAGCCUUGACGGUAUCUGACCAGAAAGCCACGGCUAACUACGUGCCAGCCGCUGC